CACGUAGGGCGCGAGCGUUGUCCGGAAUUAUUGGGCGUAAAGAGCUCGUAGGCGGCCUGUUGCGUCCGCUGUGAAAGCCCGGGGCUUAACCCCGGGUCGGCAGUGGAUACGGGCAGGCUAGAGGUAGGUAGGGGAGAAUGGAAUUCCCGGUGUAGCGGUGAAAUGCGUAGAUAUCUGGAGGAAUACCGGUGGCGAAGGCGGCAUCCUGGACCAUAACUGACGCUGAGGCGCGAAAGCUAGGGGAGCAAACGGG
rnacentral:rRNA from 1 species